ACGAACGCUGGCGGCAGGCUUAACACAUGCAAGUCGAACGCUCCGCAAGGAGAGUGGCAGACGGGUGAGUAACACGUGGGUGAUCUGCCCUGCACUCUGGGAUAAGCCUGGGAAACUGGGUCUAAUACUGGAUAUGACCUGCUCUCGCAUGGGGGUGGGUGGAAAGAUUUAUCGGUGCAGGAUGGGCCCGCGGCCUAUCAGCUUGUUGGUGGGGUAAUGGCCUACCAAGGCGACGACGGGUAGCCGACCUGAGAGGGUGACCGGCCACACUGGGACUGAGACACGGCCCAGACUCCUACGGGAGGCAGCAGUGGGGAAUAUUGCACAAUGGGCGGAAGCCUGAUGCAGCGACGCCGCGUGAGGGAUGAAGGCCUUCGGGUUGUAAACCUCUUUCAGCAGGGACGAAGCGUGAGUGACGGUACCUGCAGAAGAAGCACCGGCUAACUACGU
rnacentral:rRNA from 1 species